rfam:Oryza sativa (indica cultivar-group) chromosome 8, whole genome shotgun sequence.
UUUAAGUGCAGUUGUGGAUAUCCGGAUCCGUGUCCAGCGUUUGAUUAUCCAUCUUAUUUAAAUUUUUAUGAUUAUUAUUUUCAUUGUUAUUAGAUGAUAAAACAAGAAUAAUACUUUAUGUGUAACUUAUUUUUUUAAUUUUUUCAUAAAAUUUUUAAAAUAAGACAGAUGGUCAAACGUUGGAUAAAAAACCCGCAAGUGCACUUAAA